rnacentral:tRNA from 1 species
AGAUAAUGAGCUUGAUUUAUAAGUUUAUAUUUUGAAAAUAUAAGAUAGAAUUUAAAAAUUUUAUUAUCUU